GCUGGGCAUGGUGGCGCAUGCCCGUAAUCCCAGCACUUUGGGAGGCUGAGGCAGGUGGAUCACCUGAGGUCAGGAGUUCAAGACCAGCAUGGCCAACAUGGUGAAAUCCUGCCUCUA
rnacentral:sRNA from 1 species